UACGUAGGGUGCAAGCGUUAUCCGGAAUUAUUGGGCGUAAAGAGCUCGUAGGCGGUUUGUCGCGUCUGCUGUGAAAACUGGAGGCUCAACCUCCAGCCUGCAGUGGGUACGGGCAGACUAGAGUGCGGUAGGGGAGAUUGGAAUUCCUGGUGUAGCGGUGGAAUGCGCAGAUAUCAGGAGGAACACCGAUGGCGAAGGCGGCUCUCUGGGCCUUACCUGACGCUGAGGAGCGAAAGCGUGGGGAUCAAACAGG
rnacentral:rRNA from 1 species